GGAAAUGAAUGGAUCAUGGAUGGACCUUCCUUCUAAGAAUGACAUCGAACAAUUGUUGAUGUGCGAGAAAAAACAAAAACCUCCGAAUUGCCGAAAAGGCAAGAAGCCAAAAAGACCAAAGGAAAAUGCAUACGAUAAUACAGAGAGGAACAGGUGCAUUCAUCCAACCAAUAGAAAAACUAGAGCAGAUCCAGAUUUUUAUUAAAAUAUAAAAAAAUAUGUCUUUGUAUAAAUAAAAAAAAAUCGCAAAUAAAGCAGCAACUCAAUUAAA
rnacentral:misc_RNA from 1 species